rnacentral:rRNA from 1 species
AGAGUUUGAUCAUGGCUCAGGACGAACGCUGGCGGCGUGCCUAACACAUGCAAGUCGAGCGGUAAGGCCCUUCGGGGUACACGAGCGGCGAACGGGUGAGUAACACGUGGGCAACCUGCCCUGCACACUGGGAUAAGCCUGGGAAACUAGGUCUAAUACCGGAUACGACCUCGCGAGGCAUCUCGCGUGGUGGAAAGUUCCGGCGGUGCAGGAUGGGCCCGCGGCCUAUCAGCUAGUUGGUGGGGUAACGGCCUACCAAGGCGACGACGGGUAGCCGGCCUGAGAGGGCGACCGGCCACACUGGGACUGAGACACGGCCCAGACUCCUACGGGAGGCAGCAGUGGGGAAUUUUUCACAAUGGGGGCAACCCUGAUGGAGCGACGCCGCGUGGAGGAUGAAGGUCUUCGGAUUGUAAACUCCUGUCAUUGGUGAACAAGAUGGGCGGGGUAACUCCUUGCCUGUUUGCUAGUAGCCGAAGAGGAAGGGACGGCUAACUCUGUGCCAGCAGCGGCGGUAAUAC